rnacentral:tRNA from 1 species
GCCAGUGUAGCUUAGUGGUUAGAGUGUUGGACUAGGAUCUGGGAGACUCAGGUUCAAAUCCCCACUCUGCCC